rnacentral:rRNA from 1 species
GACGAACGCUGGCGGCGUGCUUAACACAUGCAAGUCGAGGGCACUAUUGGGGCAACCUGGUAGUGACCGGCGAACGGGUGCGUAACACGUGAGCGACCUUGCCUCGUGGGUGGGGGAGUAGCCGGCCCGAACCGGCCGGGUAACGUACCGCAUAUGGUGCUGUCUUCGCAUGGAGACGGUAGCAAAGCUGUGUCGCAAGACAUGGCGCCACAGGGGGC